UGGAGGAUGUAGGACCCCUGGGAGCCUUGGCCGUCCACCUCCACCAGGUGGCAGGUGCACGCCACUGUUAGCCAAUAUCCAUGUUGCACAUUCUGCAAACGUCCGAUGAAAUGGCGUCGGCAGAGAACAUCGGCAGAGCCGUUUUGGCAGCAAUACACCAUUUUUUCCGUGGCGACAGCAACGACCACAGGGCUGCCACAGACCACCUCGCAACAAUGAACGUGACCGGUGCGGGAAACGCAACUGCAGUGUGCGUUAAAAUCGGCGACAGCGUCAUUAGCGACCUCCUGAUGAGUGUCUACAUCCUGGCCUUCAUCUUUGGCUUGAUCUUCAACGUCCUCACCCUGGGCCCCAUUUUGCAACAAGUGCGCAGGCAAAAUGUCCUGGGCAUUUUCCUGCUCAGCCUGUCGCUCUCCGACAUGCUUUUCAUGUUCACCAUACCCCUCUGGAUCAACUACUACCACCAGAACCACCACUGGAAGCUGGGCGUCAUGUCAUGCAGCGUGGCCGGGUUCUUCUAUUACUCCAACAUGUACAUCAGCAUCUACCUGCUGUGUUGCAUCUCCAUGGACCGCUGCCUGGUGGUGACGUACCCUUUCCGCUCCAAAACCCAGCGGACGUCAUGCUGCGCCUGGGCGCAGUGCGUAAGCAUCUACGCGGUGGUGAUGGUGCUGCACAUCAUGGUGCUGUUCAACGACAACCUCCACGACGCCCACGACAGCCGAGACGACCGCUGUUACGAGACCUACCCCAUGGAGAGACCCGUGGCUUUGUUCAACCUGCUCCGGGUGGGCAUCGGCUUCUUGCUCCCCCUGCUGGUGCUGGCCGUCAGCUACUGGAAGGUGCUGGCCACGGUGGGCCAGAGUCCAGGCCUGAGCGCCCAGGUCAAGAGGAAGGUGCGCAUGCUCUCCUUCGGGGUGGUCGGGAUCUUUUUGGUUUGCUUCGCGCCGUACCACAUCCUGCUGCUGAUGCGCUCGCUCGUCUUCUACCAGAAUGACAACACACGGUUUGACGGCAGCUACUGCGAGUUUGAGCAGAAGGUGCACUUCGCCUUCUCGUGCACGCUCGCCCUGUCCAGCCUGAACUGCGUGGUGGACCCCGUGCUCUACGUGCUGAUCAGCAACGGCAUCCAGGAGGAUUUCAACGUAUGCUGCAAAAGAUAAGAGGUCGGCUGAUAUUUUGCUCUUGAGAUACGAGCAACAUUUUGAGAUCUGAGUGUGCUUCAAACCCCCACCACUAGAUGACGCCAGCAUAUUUCAUAACAUCCAGCCACCAUCAAUUCACAUUGGUUUACCAGCAGUGGAAGGACAAUAUCAGUUGGUGGCGCUAUUGUUUGUAAUGUAGUGUUUGUAGUAGUAGUAUUGUGUAUGUAGUUUGUUAUAUUAUUAUAUAUGCUCAAGAUUUGCAGUAGGGCUGGGCGAUUCUGGAAAAAGUAAUGAUCACGAUUAUUUUGAUUAACAUUGAAAUCAUGAUUAAUAAACACAAUUAUUUAUGAUUUCGAAACAAUAUUUAACUCCCAUAACUCAACUUUAAAUAUAACUAAAUACAGCAACCAGAAAAUAAAUUAGUAUCAAGUCAAAUAAUAAUAUAUUAAAAAAAUAGAAAUAAAAAACAAUAAAUAAAAAUAAAUACAGCCAUGGUUAAAAUCAAUCAGGAAUUGGAUUUUUUUGGGCACGGUCAACUAAAUACAAUACAAUCAGUAUGCUUCUGUUUUGUAUUUUGUAAUAACGUGUGUUCUUCUGAAACGAAUCAUUUUGAAGUUGAUAAUUAUUGACUUUAAAUUAGAAAAAAAAUAAAAAUAAACAUCAACUUGUUCCCCCCCCCCAAAAAACCUUCCAUCUUCACAAAUGUUAUAUUACAGAUCCAUUCCAUUCUGUCCAAGGUUGGCCUUGAAUGUGGUAAUGUAACUCCAUCACUUAGUGCUUCUGAUCGAUAAUGCAGGGUUGGGCUGAAAGUGUUUUAUUGACAUCUAUUCUGAGACUGGUGGUCUUUAUUAUUAUUAUCAAACAAAACAAAAAAAGCUCAAAUGACAAAGAAUAAAAAAAAAGCCUCUAAGAUCGAUAACUCCUGUUAUUGGACUUCUUGUCUGGUUCAUAAUAAUAAACGCUAUGCUGAAGCUUAAGUGUCCAUAAGUGCAACUCUGAAUGCAACUGCAACGUAGUGUCAAUGUCAUUACCAUCACUUACUUCAGUAAUGUACCGGUACUGUAUAAUAUCAUCUCUCAUGCUGAGUUAGCACUAGCGCGCACAAACUUUGCCCCACACAAAGACGCCAGAUGUUUUUUCCAGACAUGAUGUGAUAACAAAUAAAUGAAUUAUUUGAUAGCAUUCAGAAUGUCUAUGUAACUUCAUCUUCCAUUUACUUAUUUAGUGCCAGAAACGUAUUAAUACGUUUUCACAAAUCCAUCUAUUUAGUGCCAAAGACGUAUUAAUACGUUUUCUGUUUUGUUAAUUUUUUUUUUAUUAUUGUAAUAGAGGGUUUGGUGCAGCUCCACAAUAAGUAUCAAAGGCUUGGGUAGGAUUUUAGUAUAAUAAAUUGACACUAAAUGGCACCAGUGGCUUUGAUCAGAGCUUUGUCAGUACGAUCAGAGGACAACGACAUCUGUUGAGAUCCCAUGUUGGCAUGGUGGGGAGUUGCAGGAGCGUGGUUGAAAGAGAGAGACGGUGAUUGACAAGUUAGAGUGAAAAAACAUGAAUAAAUACAGACAGCUUACUCGAAAAUAGAGUUUUGCUAACGCCAGAAAAGGAGAAAGGGAUGACGCUACGACAACGAACGGCAUGUAACGCUGGUCGUGCCAAGCCUUCGAAGGCCAAUGGUGAGAAUGCGACCAUAUCCCGAUCCACUUCCCCCGAAAGGUCGACUGCCGACGAACAUUCGGACUUGGAUUACAAUUAGCCUGAUCCGGAUUCAUCCAUAUCUGGGAGCAGCAGGGCGUCCUCCCCUGUGCCCCCAGAAAGUCACGGAAGAGGUAAGAACUUGCUAACUGCAAAGCUAACAUCCAUAGCCUGAGCCAUUACUCAUUUACCAUUUUUAUCAUGCAACGUGCACAAACAAGCACGACAAUUUCUCCUACGAUACUACACGUUUACAAAUCAUGCAUCCUGUAGACAAAAGAACAUGGAACAUCGAUAGCCAGAUGAAUUGGAUAGACUUUUUUUUUUGUUAUUCUUGGUCUUUUAUUUAUAGACAGUAUGUACAAAAAUAGAAUUUUCAGACAAUGUGAGGUGUGUAAUGCAGAUUUGUUUUUUUUACCUUUCCUCAUCGCACUGUAGCAACAACAUAGAUAUUUUGUGUUAAUUGUACAUAUUUCUAUAAAUUGCAGUGGGUGCAACCAGUAGAAAAUGUCCCGCAGACCUGUUGGCAAGAAAGGAGGUGCAUCAAGCAGUGGUGGGGCUGUUCAUGGCUGGUUCUCUGCUGACUGGGAAACCAUAAAAGUUCCACACGCACACACCCACACAUGCACACACACACACCUACACAACUGUACAUAUUUCAAAGUUCUUGCAUCAUCAAUUUGAAAAUGCAUGUUAUACUUGUGGCGGCACGGUGGCCGACUGGUUAGAGCGUCAGCCGCGCAGUUCUGAGGACCCGGGUUCAAUCCCUGGCCCCGCCCGUGUGGAGUUUGCAUGUUCUCCCCGUGCCUGCGUGGGUUUUCUCCGGGCUCCCCGGUUUCCUCCCACAUCCCAAAAACAUGCAUGAAUUGGAGACUCUAAAUUGAUGAAAGAAGAGGGUUAAAUAUUGAUAUAUAUAUAAUAUUGAUGAAAGAAGAGGGUUAAAUAUUUCUUUUGGUAGGUUGCAUGUUUCUAUAGCUAUACAACACAAUUUUCUGAAGGCCUUCCAAAAUUAGUCAAAAUUGUCAAAAAUAGCUGCCAUGCAGCUCUCCCAAUUCUGAAAAACGGCUGGCAUUAAAUGAGUUAACUGGGUACACAUAACAUGUCAACCCAUUUUUUUUUUUUUUAAAUGCGAGAGACCCCACACAUAACAAAGGCAAAAAAUCAUGAAGGCAGUUCUUACUGCUCUUAUCGUGUUUGGUGUUAUUAGAGAUGACCAACACAGCCAGUGGUGGUCCUUGCUUGAAUAGCGCCCUGUGCGAGACCCUCCUCAUUCAUACCUGUAUCCAUUGUUCAUUUCUAAUAUAUGUCUUUCCUUUUCUUUGCUGCCAAUAGAAAAGCUUUUUUUUUUUUUUUUUUUUUUUUUUUUUUUUGGGAGGAGGGGGUUGUUGCCCCCGUAAGUGGUGAACUGUGCAAUUGCCAAAUACCGCCAUUGAACACAGCACACCACAUGCAUAAUUGUAUUCAGACAAUUGCAAGUCUCCUCCCCAAACCAGUUGCAGUACCAAGAUGGACCUAUGAGAGGCAGCAUGGUGCCAAAGGGCAUGCCUAUUGUUGGAAAAUACAAACAAACAGAAUAGUAGAAGAAGAAAUUGAAGCAGCCAGGCUAACGUUUAGCUUAUUUGCUAACCACAGUGGUACCUAGAAUUAUUAGUUCUAUAACAAGUUUAUUUCAGGCCAAUUUUAGUUAGUUUAGUUAAGUCAGCUGGUUAGCGAGCUAGUUUUCUAGGCUAAUUGUGAAUUGUAAUUGUGGUUGCACACUCUUCUCCAUGUCAUUUUUUUGUGCUGAAUGAUUUGGGAGUUUAUUGAACAGGUUUAUUAUUAACUAGGGUCAUUCUAGAAUUGGAGGAUAUUUCCCCCCAACACCCUCUUCCUAAAAUUUCAAAUAAUCCAUGCACAAAAUACAGAAAUCUGCACUUGUUGUGUAAAUUAUAGUUGUCCUGAAAAUGUAACUGUAGCUACAAUAAAAAUGAUUCCUAAAUAUUAUUUAAAAUACCGAUAACUCUUGAGUACUCCCCUAAAACGAUUUUUUUCUGUUGUCCGUCCCUCUAGGUGACAAACACAUAUCAAAUAUAACUGAUAAAAUCCGAUUUCAGUCAUCUUUUUCGGUAUGAUUUUCUUCAUGUCUUGUCAGUGUAAAAACAUUUUGUUUUAUUAAGGACAUAUUCUAUAGAGUAGUAAUUAUAUGCUGUGUGUGUAUGUCUCUCAACAUACACGCAACCCUGUUACGAAAACCUUUUUAGCCUAGAGAAGAAAAAAAGUGAGCUGUAUGACUCUCUGAAAUGACAUCAUCAGACCAAUUUUUCUAACCAGGGCUAGACGGAAGGUGCGGCAACCAUAGCACAUGACAAACAUUGGAGUUGGAUAAAUCCAAUUGAUGAUCAAAUGAUCAAAUGAUGUUUCAUGACCUGUUUUUCUUGUAAACAUAAAAACAAACAAAAAAGACAAAUAAAUACAGCAGUCAGUUUUCAAACACGUUGAUGCCUAAAUUGUCCUCCAAUUCUGGAAUGACUGCCCCGACCAUUUUCCGAGCAGGUCUGCGGGGAAAUACUAAAGGUGUGAACAGAUAUGAUGCAACAAAUGUUUAUUAUUACAUAUUAUAAAUGUUAUUGUUUGUUUUUCAGAAUUGCAUGGUCACUCCUCUGCCGGUUCGCCGACCCUGAAAUGAACCAGACUUCAACUCAGAGAGAGGGGAUUUUAUGAUUGUAUUCAUUAAAAAUGACGUCCUGCCCUAGUUCUGCUUCAUUUCUUAUCUCAUGUAAAAUCUUUUCCAAACCCUGACAUACAAAUUCUUACUUGCUUUAGAGACUUUGCAGUGGAUUCAGUCAUAGCCUGGGGGCUUCAAACGUUUAACUGAUCGGGAAACUUACAGUAAUUUGUUUGGACAUUAUAAAAUGUCAUUGUCAUCAUUUAUUGGCAUAACAAGAACAUAGAACAUGUGAAGGUGGCUCAUUUACAAAACAUAAUAUAUCAAUACUGCAUCUGUUAUUUAAAAUAAAGCAUAAUACCAACUCACAUGAUUAUAAAAAUAAAAGAUAAUUUGAGGAAGAUGAGAAGAUAAGCCCAUUAAGUGCUAUAAUAUUGGCGCUAGAUAAAAGGUUUUUGUCAUAUAGUAUUUCACCAUUUUAGCUUUACACAGUAUACUGUAAGUUCACAUUCUUUAGUUUCAAUUCAUAUGCAUUCUCCAUGCAAAAUUGGUUGUCAUCAUCAUGUAGAAACAUAAGAUACUUUUUUUCUUUUAACCUUUGGACUGGAAUAAUAAGUGCUAUGGAUACAUUAAUAUUGAUCAGAGACAGCCAAUGUGGUGCAAUACGUUAAACACAAUUUUGCACAACAAAUAUACACAAGUACUGCAAAUAUGGCACAAAGGAUGGAAAGGUUGGAGUAAUAUAGUGUUGUACGGUAUUAAUAAAGGAUGGUAUACAUAAACUGAGAAAUAAAUCUUUUGUAACACCAGUCCUGGAACCUUUCUGACACACCUUGUAUUUGGGUUGCGAAUAUAAGCUAUGGGAGUAAUGUGUGUCAGCAGGCCACAGUAAAUGCACUCUUGGACAAAGAAGUGCUAUCAAGCUCAUUCUGUUAACCGGCACACGCUCAUCAACAGUCAUUCACAAUCGAAUGUGACGUACUUGUGCGUGCGCACAUCCUCCGUUUGAGAAAUGGGAACAACAAGGCCCGCAUUUUAUGAGGUGUCCACUUCCACUUUCACUAUUUUCAAACACAGUAUUAAUGGACCCUUAAGAAUUCAUCAGCAUUAUUUUAAACAUCUCAACCGCAGCGUACAUUGCCAAGCAACUCACUAAAAACAAAUGACCACUUUAUAAAUGUUCAGUCUGCUUUUGGAAUUUUUUUUUAAGUGUUUGUGAAGACUAAGUCUCAAAAUGUUACUGCAUAUGAAGCUCACAGGUAUACAGCAUGUGAACAUUUGUCAAAAUGAUUUGUUCCACAAAUGACACAGCACAAAACAUGUACAAAAGCGAAAGAGAAAAUAAAAUACUCAACUACUAUUUUCCUCAAUUAAUGUUUUUAAAGUGCUCCG